AGGACUAAGAUGUGUAUGUCUGGCUAGUCCAACCAGGAUUACUUGUGGUGCAGCUGAGGACAAAGGAGGCCAAUUUGGGAGUCAUCAGGUUUCCUGGGUUCUUGUUGCUGGGUGACCACAUGCUGAAUUUGGAACUGCCUUUUGCACCCUUCAGGGACCCAGGUCUUUGAGUCAUUGAGCAAUGUUAUUGAUUGGCUGCCUGUCCUUUUGUCUCCUCUUCUGUGAAAAGUCUGUCUUCAGUUUUAUUUCUAGACAAGUCCAGUGUCUCACACAGGUGACAAGCUACAGAGGAUCCUGGGCUGAGGACUGUGCCUCUCACAAUGAAGUUACACCUGGAGGGAUUCUGUGCUGGUCAUUCUGACAGAGCAGCACCCAUUCCCCACCAGUGUAAACCAGCUCACUCACCUGUUCAAGCAUGAAUGGUACUUGGGGUUUCUUGGUGGCUUUUUAGUCAUGAAACUCAGUGCUAUGAACACUUUUGGAAGGAGGACAGUGAGAUGAAGCCUCUGGAAUGACUGUAAAUACAUUAGUGCUCCUUUGUAUACUGUUGCUGCAUUGAGUGUUACCCAAUAACAACAACAGUGCUGUACAGGCUUUGGAAGAGGAGUUUCUGAGCUCAGGAGAUUUAACUUUUCACAGCAGUAACUUUGCCAGUAUCAGCAGACUGCAAGGAAAAUUACUGGAAAUUAUUUGAAUGGAGCUGGAACUUGGCCUUGAAGAGUCACAGCUUCACUGUGCUGCCUGUGCCAGUGUCUCACCAUGUUCUCAGCUCUCUUCAGGGAUUAGCCCUGCAACACCAGGGAAUGACCACGCACUGCCCAAGGACUCCAGGCCCGUGUCUGCAGACCUUGGCCAGGGUCACCCCAAGGCAGGAGCAGGCAGGAGAACGUGACCAAA